rnacentral:rRNA from 1 species
AUGUGCUUGAGCAGGCAUUUGGACCUAGGAUGGCGGGUGCAACAUCUCGGGGAGAAUCAAGUCGUCGUAAUGGCAUCUCUAGCUAGAACAGUUCAGUUGGUGCACGGCGACGUGGUGGCUCGACAAGUGUGGGCAACAGCAGUAGGGUCCCCCUUGAAGUGGAGCCUGAUGGCUACAAUUCUGGGGUUGAUGAAGAGAAGUUAUAUUCUGAUGUUAUUCAGAAUUUACGACGGGCACCUCGGGCUGAAAACCAAGAUGAGGCUCACAAUGCAGUCCGUGUGGAUGAUGACGCGAUGGGUGAGGACGAAGACCUUGCAGCUGUUGAAUGGGACCCUUUGA